UGUGCAACUCCUGGAUGAUGCGCGUGUUAAGAUUCUUUGACCAAGAUUAGGAUUGCCACCAGCAGCAGCCUCAACCACCAUUCAUCUUGCUGGCACCUGCAGGGGAGGAGCUGGCUACGGCGCAUUGUAAGCCCAUUCAAAACAAGUGAAUCCUUCACUAGAUUAGUGUUUGCUAUUGUUUAUUUAUGGUGGAUGAAACAUGACCCAGCUGUCAUCUGACCUAGCUUAGUGCCUGAGCACUUGCUUAAUUACUUGCCAGACAUAGUUUUCUGUGCAUGUGUUUGUUGGUAAGAGGCUGAACUUGGGUCUCAAAGAUUCUGAUGAGCCUAUUCGAUCAUCAGCAUUGUGUACCGACUGCUUGGAGGGCGAGAGGGAGAUGCUACGGCAGUGGGCUCUACAUGCAUGACAUAAAUCACUCCUUGCCAAGGAUUUGGUUAUCGGGAGGUUUCUGGACAAUGUGCGGUCAAUACAUGUCUAUAUCGAGGUAAAAAAUAUUGAACUCAAGUUCAUCCGGUAUCCAAAAUUUUGCUUAGAGUUCUGGUGAGAAGCUUAGAUACGAGUGGUGAGUUUAUUACAGAGAAAGGUUCAUACGCCUCACAGAACACACAGCCAACGGCUUGCGCCUACAACAAGGUCAGAACACACGCUUACAAGUGGGAGUCAACCCCACAACUCCAGCUCAAGGAACCCAACCGAUCGUGCUCCUAUUCUUCCCCAAUGGGUCCGCCUUCCAUCAACAAUCCACCUGCCAGGAUGUUCGGAGCUGAUUAUUCUCUAUCCACCUUCGUUUUCUCUGAAGAUGAGAAGGGCGUGACACGCCCUUCCGCCUUCGCCUCGACGUUCGGAUAGUGUGCCCGCUGGAUCAGACCGUGGGGAGUUGCCGAAUUGCUCCCUUGCGACAAGACGUCAAUCCAUGAUCACCAUUGGAACGGACUCAACCAUAGAGAAUGAAGUGAGGGGAGGAAGACGAGAAGCGAUGGGGCAAAGGACAGAAGAAAGCUUGGGUCAAUUAUUGCACGGGCAUAUUAGCGGUGUGCCACAAGAAAGGCGUGCUACUAGUAUUAACAUUACUAGCAGCGUCGAGAUACGUCGCACACGUACACAAAUACUCGGUACUAGAUAGGAAGGGCCGAGGAGUGCAUUUACCAAAUGGGCCAAACAUCUGAUGCCCCCGGCGCAGGAAAGGCACACGCACAAGGGGACGCAAAAGACGCUACACGAAGAGGUCCACAGGUCAUCGAUUACCGAAGUCGGCGCACAGGUGAGAGACUGGUUAACGAGGAUUGGCAGCUGAGAAACGACCAUGCAGUAAAAUUAUACGGUGUCAGGCAGAUCAAAUGGCCCAGCAAGCAUGUGCCCCUCAGGAUCACGAAGGAAGCAUGUAAUCCAGCAUCAUUUAUAAGAGUAUUAGGAGUCAAUGGCAGCUCUUCCAUAGCUUGCUACCCCCUACCUUUUCAUCCAAGAAGCAAGCAAGCACCUAACAUCUCUAAUUUUUGAAAUUCCCAAACACCCAUAGUAUUUUGAACACACGCUAAGUGAAGUUUCCUAUGGGCCCUCAAACUCAUUCCAGAGGCAGUUUGCCAUUGUGAGAAUUAUUGAGGUCCAAAGUGCAUUUAUGAAAAUGAAAAAGGACCUCAAAUACACAGGAAUGUUAGCUAGACAUGAUUUCAUAAGUACCAACCUCCCACCACAUCCUUGUGAUCUUGGAGUUGUGCUACUUGUGAUACUUAAGUUUGCUACGCCUUUGAACGAGUUUUAUGU